rnacentral:rRNA from 1 species
GACAGAGGGUGCAAACGUUGUUCGGAAUUACUGGGCGUAAAGCGCGUGUAGGCGGCCCUGCAAGUCGGGUGUGAAAUCCCACGGCUCAACCGUGGAAGUGCACUCGAAACUGCAGGGCUAGAGUCCUGGAGAGGAAGGUGGAAUGCUUGGUGUAGAGGUGAAAUUCGUAGAUAUCAGGAGGAACACCGGUGGCGAAGGCGGCUCUCUGGACGGUGACUGACGCUGAGACGCGAAAGCGUGGGGAGCAAACAGGG